GUGACCUCAAAUCAGGUAGGACUACCCGCUGAACUUAAGCAUAUCAAUAAGCGGAGGAAAAGAAACUAACAAGAUUCCCCUAGUAACUGCGAGUGAAGCGGGAAAAGCUCAAAUUUAAAAUCUGGCAGUCUUUGGCUGUCCGAGUUGUAAUCUAGAGAAGUAUUAUCCGCGCUGGACCGUGUACAAGUCUCCUGGAAUGGAGCGUC
rnacentral:rRNA from 1 species